UGGGGAAUAUUGGACAAUGGGCGAAAGCCUGAUCCAGCAACGCCGCGUGGAGGAUGACGGCCUUCGGGUUGUAAACUCCUGUCAGUUGGGACGAAAGAGUUUCGGUUAAUACCCGGGACUCCUGACGGUACCAGCAGAGGAAGCCCCGGCUAACUCCGUGCCAGCAGCCGCGGUAAUACGGAGGGGGCGAGCGUUAUUCGGAAUUAUUGGGCGUAAAGGGCGCGUAGGCGGCAUGGUAAGUCAGGGGUGAAAUCCCUCGGCCCAACCGAGGAACUGCCUCUGAAACUGCCACGCUUGAGGCCGGGAGAGGGUAGUGGAAUUCCCAGUGUAGCGGUGAAAUGCGUAGAUAUUGGGAGGAACACCAGUGGCGAAGGCGACUACCUGGACCGGUUCUGACGCUGAGGCGCGAAAGCGUGGGGAGCAAACAGGAUUAGAUACCCCCGUAGUCC
rnacentral:rRNA from 1 species